GGCUGGACGACUCCGCUCAAAAGCAAGAAGGUUGCCACUGACCAUCAUCCCAGUUCCCAGGCGACCACUAGCAUGAAAGGGGCAAAGCACUGUGAGUUGCAGAUUUCUGAUUUGUUUUUUCCCAUCUCGUAGCAGUUCUCUUUUAUUGGGUGCUUCUCUUAAAAUUUGUUCCGCUUUCAUAUAGAUGGAAGCAGAUGUGUGCCUUACAAAAAAAGGACAGAAAUCAGUUCGUUUAGUAGAAGGGAGGGGUGCUCUACCAAUCCCUACUUAAAUAUUCAAUAGCAUUGAUGGCUUAUUAGAAUAUUAUAAUCUGCCUUGCACUCUCCGUUUGUAGUCUCAGUUCAAAAUGUAUUAAUUUGUUCGAUUGUGAGUUUUUCGGAUCCUGGUGCAGAUUUGUUUUUUUUUAAAUAUGCUAUAUCCAUUCCACCACAGUGCCUCUACCUCAGAUUUAUUGUCUCAAAGAUGAUAAGAGAGAUGCGGUGUGAGCAGUAUUGUUUAUGAGUGUAGCUUUACUGCACUCUCAAAAAAAGGAGUAGCAUCACCAAGACAGUUCUAGGCAUGAGUGAAACAAAGCCUUACAUAGAAUUGCCUUUGUGGAGCGCAUCUUGGAAGAGGUGGAGGCGUGCGGAUCGAGCCGGAUGGGGUGGCCACCGUGGCACGCGGGCGAAGGAGGAGCUCAAGGAGCACGUCCCAGAAAAGGGCGUCAGCGGUGGCACGCCAAUCGACUACACCGCAUCCUGGGCCUCGAGAUCUUCUCCGGCAAGACCAGGGGAGCUUCCAUGGCAAGAAACAUGGUCAAUGACUCCAGGGUGACGUGGAGCUCCAGGCCAAGGUAACGAGCAAAUUCUUCUUCGAGGUUGAGAUCGGCGGGAAGCGCGUGGGCAAGGUGGUCAUCGGGCUCUUCGGCGAGGUCGUCCCAAAGA